AAGUCGUAACAAGGUUUCCGUAGGUGAACCUGCGGAAGGAUCAUUCACAAUAAAGUGUUUCUAGCACUUUUUAAAAAAUCUAGUACCCACCUUGUGUGCAACGUAUUGGUCAUGUGACUUGUCAUAUGAUUCAAUAAUACCAACCUUUAUUUUUAACGUAUGUCUGAAAAUAUUAUGAAUACUAUAAUUCAAAUAUAACUUUCAACAACGGAUCUCUUGGCUCUC
rnacentral:misc_RNA from 1 species